rnacentral:rRNA from 1 species
UACGUAGGGAGCAAGCGUUGUUCGGAAUUACUGGGCGUAAAGGGCGCGUAGGCGGCCUGUUAAGUCGGACGUGAAAUCCCUCGGCUCAACCGGGGAACUGCGUCCGAUACUGGCGGGCUUGAAUUCGGGAGAGGGAUGUGGAAUUCCAGGUGUAGCGGUGAAAUGCGUAGAUAUCUGGAGGAACACCGGUGGCGAAGGCGGCAUCCUGGACCGACAUUGACGCUGAGGCGCGAAAAGCCAGGGGGAGCAAACGGG